AGAGUUUGAUCCUGGCUCAGAACGAACGCUGGCGGCGUGGAUAAGACAUGCAAGUCGAACGGAAAUUAAAUGGUAGCAAUACUAUUUGAUUUUAGUGGCGAACGGGUGCGUAACACGUGGGCAAUCUGCCGGAAAGUUGGGGAUAACUCGUCGAAAGGCGAACUAAUACCGAAUGUGGCCAAGAAGGACAUCCUUCUGAAGCUAAAGCUGGGGCAACCUGGCGCUUUCUGAUGAGCCCGCGGCCUAUCAGCUUGUUGGUGAGGUAACGGCUCACCAAGGCUAUGACGGGUAGCUGGUCUGAGAGGACGACCAGCCACACUGGAACUGAGACACGGUCCAGACACCUACGGGUGGCAGCAGUCGAGAAUUUUUCUCAAUGGGGGAAACCCUGAAGGAGCGACGCCGCGUGGAGGAUGAAGGUUUUCGGAUCGUAAACUCCUGUCAUUAGAGAACAAUGCAACGAGUAGUAACUGACUUGUUGUUGAUAGUAUCUGAAGAGGAAGGGACGGCUAACUCUGUGCCAGCAGCCGCGGUAAUACAGAGGUCCCGAGCGUUGUUCGGAUUCAUUGAGCGUAAAGGGUGCGUANGCGGUAGGGUAAGUUGGAUGUGAAAUCCCGGGGCUCAACCUCGGAACUGCAUUCAAUACUGCUUUACUAGAGUACUGGAGAGGAGAUUGGAANUUCACGGUGUAGCAGUGAAAUGCGUAGAUAUCGUGAGGAAGACCAGUGGNGAANCNAAUCUCUGGACAGUACUGACGCUGAGGCACGNNGCUAGGGAGCAAACGGGAUUAGAUACCCCGGUAGUCCUAGCAGUAAACGGUGCACGCUUAGUGUGGGAGGAAUCGACCCUUCCGUGCUGGAGCUAACGCGUUAAGCGUGCCGCCUGGGGAGUACGGUCGCAAGAUUAAAACUCAAAGAAAUUGACGGGGGCCCGCACAAGCGGUGGAGUAUGUGGCUUAAUUCGAUGCAACGCGAAGAACCUUACCUGGCCUUGACAUGCAUUUCUAAGUCGGUGAAAGCCGGCGAGUGUAGCAAUACACAACUUGCACAGGUGCUGCAUGGCUGUCGUCAGCUCGUGUCGUGAGAUGUUGGGUUAAGUCCCGCAACGAGCGCAACCCCUGUGAUUAGUUGCCACCAACUCGUGAGAGUUGAGCACUCUAGUCAGACUGCCCUGUGAAACGGGGAGGAAGGUGGGGAUGACGUCAAGUCAGGAUGGCCCUUACGGCCAGGGCUGCACACGUACUACAAUGCCCAGUACAGAAGGAACCGAAACCGCGAGGUGGAGGAAAUCACUAAAACUGGGCCCAAUUCGGAUCGCAGGCUGCAACUCGCCUGCGUGAAGCCGGAAUCGCUAGUAAUGGCGCAUCAGCUACGGCGCCGUGAAUACGUUCCCGGGCCUUGUACACACCGCCCGUCACAUCAUGGGAGUCACUUGUACCCGAAGUCAGUGAGCCAACCGCAAGGGGGCAGCUGCCUAAGGUAUGAGCGGUAACUGGGAUGAAGUCGUAACAAGGUAGCCGU
rnacentral:rRNA from 1 species